CAGGUAAUGAGUGGCCUAGUGGCAUUUAUGGUCUUCCCAAACCUAAAUCAGGAUGUCCAAGUGGUAAGAAGAAUGGCUGGGAUGAAGGCUGGAGAUAUCAGGAUAUGGAAGAUGACGAUAAGAACUCAAGUAAGCGAUCAAGUGUAUCCAGUGGGUCACAUAUGAACGUCACAUUAAUAGUUGAUAGUAAAAAAGAUGUGAACAGAACAUUCUGUAUGAAACAAAUCAUUGGAACACAAACGAAGUAUUGGCCAAAAGG